ensembl:lncRNA
CAGAGCCGGUCAUAAUUCUUGCAAGACAGAUUUAACAGCCUCGAAGCUUUGGCCUUUAUAAGCCCCUGAAAGCUUUUUCCUGAAACACUCUUUCAGUUUUACCUAGAUCUAUGUUCCCUGGAUUGCAAUUCCUAAGACCUCAAAUAAGUCUCUUUGUCCUCUCCAGCCUCCUGUUGAUUUUUGUUCAACAUUAGACAUCAGAAGUGGGACUCAUCUCUGUCUCUAAUGCAAGCAAAGCACCUACAGGAGUCCUUUGUACUCUGUUGCCUCCUCAUCAGUCUUGGAUUACGAGUAUUCUUGCCUAGAGAAUCCCAGGGACUGGGGAGCCUGGUGGGCUGCCGUCUAUGGUGUUGCACAGAGUCGGACACGAACGAAGCGACUUAGCAGCAGCAGCAGCAGCAGCAAACAAUUAAUGAGCAACUGAACUGAACUGAACUGAAACAGGUAAUAACUUGGUGUUUAAGAACAUACAGUGUUGUGUCAGAAGGGAUUAGAUUUGAAUUGGUGAAACUGUGCUUCAGUUUAAUAAAGUUCAGAAUAUAAUAUCUAGUUCAUAAGGUUGUUAUGUCAAUCAAAAAAGCUAAUGCAUAAAACAAUAACC